GUGCAUCAUAAACCUAUGCAGGGCAUUAAUUGGACUACUUUGUCAAAACAGACAUUCUUAAACAGUACCAUUCAAACAAGCACACAAGUGCCAACAUCCCAGUUUGCGCGUGUGUGAGCGUGUGUGUGAGCGUGUGCGUGAGCGUGCAUGUACCUGAAUAUGAGAGCCGUAUCCUGGGGUAGGCAGUGUGCCCAGAGUGUGUGAAGAAACUCCACAGGAAAACAAAGAGCAGCAUAUUUGUUUGACACGAGGCUCCCAUCUUCUAAUCAGCAGCAGGCUUGACGUGCGUUCGUCUGACACAGUGAGGCGUGCGUCCGCUCGCUCGGAACAACGCCGGAGAACUCAGGAAUGGAUAGAAAAAGAAAACACAAAGUCUGCAGCAGUACCAUGGAAGAAUCCCGGCCGGCGCAUCUGAUGAAAAAAUACCAAGCGACCCCCUUAUAAAAAGGUUUGAAAAGAAUUCCUCCGGAGCCGUUACGGGGAUGACAACACUGGUUGACAACGUGCAAAGAGCACAGAGCGAUCAGUGUAGCUGGUACAGCGAGUCUCCUACAGCGAGCUGCGGCGGCUACGGCUGCUGCUGCUGGUGGUGGUGCUGGUGGUGGUGGGGGUGGUGGUGGUGGUGGUGGGGUGGUGGUGGGGGGUGGUGGUGGUGAGGGGACGGGGGGGCUGGCUGCUGUAUCCACCCACCGGCUGGAUGGACAGGACUGGACGCAGCCUAUUGUCCUCUUCCUCCUCCUCCUCCUCCUCCUCCUCAGUGCUGCUCUUAGUUAUCGCACGAGUCCAGCUGUUACAUUCAUGCCGCAGUGCCCACGGGCUGAUGGGCACGGCGUGUCAGUGUAGCCCCUCUGUAGUCCGCUGCUGCGCUGGUGGUACCGACUCACUCAUCUUCUGCUCUGGUCUGAGAGAGGAGCAGGAGGGAGAGACCUACGGAAGAGAGGCAGAGCAAAGAGAGAGAGGUAGAGUUAGAGAGAGAGGGAGCAACGGAAGAGAGAGGCAGAGCGGAGAGAGAGGUAGAGUUAGAGAGAGAGGGAGCAACGGAAGAGAGGCAGAGCAAAGAGAGAGAGGUAGAGUUAGAGAGAGAGGGAGCAACAGAAGAGAGAGGCAGAGCGGAGAGAGAGAGGUAGAGUUAGAGAGAGAGGGAGCAACGGAAGAGAGGCAGAGCAAAGAGAGAGAGGUAGAGUUAGAGAGAGAGGGAGCAACAGAAGAGAGAGGCAGAGCAGAGAGAGAGAGGUAGAGUUAGAGAGAAAGGGAGCAACGGAAGAGAGGCAGAGCGAAGAGAGAG
ensembl:lncRNA